rnacentral:rRNA from 1 species
AUUGAACGCUGGCGGCAGGCCUAACACAUGCAAGUCGAACGGUAGCACAGAGAGCUUGCUCUCGGGUGACGAGUGGCGGACGGGCGAGUACCGUCUGGGAAACUGCCCGAUGGAGGGGGAUAACUACUGGAAACGGUAGCUAAUACCGCAUAACGUCGCAAGACCAAAGUGGGGGACCUUCGGGCCUCACACCAUCGGAUGUGCCCAGAUGGGAUUAGCUAGUAGGUGGGGUAAUGGCUCACCUAGGCGACGAUCCCUAGCUGGUCUGAGAGGAUGAACAGCCAGAGUGGAACUGAGCGACGGUCCAGACUCGUACGGGAGGCAGCAUUGGGGAAUAUUGCACAAUGGGAUCAAGCCUGAUGCAGCCAUGCCGUGUGUAUGAAGAAGGCCUGCGGGUUGUAAAUUACUUUCAGCCGGGAGGAAGGCGGCGUAGUUAAUAUCUAAACCGAUUGACGUUACCCACGGAAGAAGCCGCGGCUAACUCCGUGCCAGCAGCCGCCGUAA